GGGUACAUGGUGUAGUUGGUUAUCACGCUCGCUUAGCAUGCACAUUACGUCCUAUAUGACUUCUGCGAGAGGUGUUGGGUUCAAUUCCCAAUGUAUCCA